UGACACAUUGCAUGACUUUGCAGUUAAAAUUUAAAAAAAAAGCUUCACUAUUAAAUAUUUUUGUUGUUUAUCUAUUGCAGUUUUUAAUCUCAAUAUUUGAAGAAUUAAGAAUCACACUAACUAAUUACAAAAGAAAGAAAAAAUCUUCCAGAAAAACAUAACCAAUUAGGAAAAGAAGCACUAAGGAGAAUCUGACCACAAGUCACAAAAACCUUGAGUCCAGACUCAUUGAAGGUUAAUGAAUAAAACAGAAAAACAGCUGUAACGAUUAGACAAUUUCUAUCAGGUGUGGUGAUGACUGGUGAUGUUACACAACUCCCAAAACCAAAUAAAUCUGUAAAGAAAAGGAAGAUCCGGAUCACGUUAUCUCCAGACUUCGAUUGGGACUUACUUUCCUGAAGCAACAGCUUUUCAAGAUAGCAAAACAUAUUCAAACCAUGCAUGCAGAUAAGAACCUAGUCUUCUUUUUGAAUCCUGCAGACAACACGGCAUGAAGAAGCAGCAAAGCCGCCUUGAUCCAACUGCUAGAGCUGCGUGUGCAAGUACAAGACUGACGGUGGUCGCAAUCUGUAAGUGCAAAUGCAUAAAUAUGAGCAUGAACACAACCAUCCCCCAUGCAUGUGUCCAUGCAGCUUCGUGUCAAAGGAAAACCAUCCCCGAAAGCCUCAGCCGCAUCUCCAGUGAUUUGACCACUGACCUCCUCCUAACAUCGGAAGAAGAGGGAGCCGACUUUUCAAGGACGAUGAACUUUUGUGCCGAUUACACGCUUCUGCGUCAAAUCUGUGGCAUUGGAUUUGCAUGACAUUAACAUAUAUCUUUAGUGCAGCAGAGAGCCGAACAUGUGGGAACUACACCUGUUAGGAAAACACAAACAUGCCACUCCCACAAAGCUACACUGUGGAGGUUCAGGUGCAGUGGUCUGUUUAUUAAUCUUGGGUUGUAUUUAUGAUCAUUUAUUAUAUGAAAUGAUCAUUCAGCAAGCUAUAUUUAUGUAUUAGGGUGGUCCUUCCAGAGGGCUGAAUUUUCAAAUUAAUAUUUUUUCAGCUCCAACCCCUGAACUUUGUUGGAAUAGCUGAAAAAACUCUCCUUGUAAAUUUUUUUCCAAUUCCAACAACAUUUACCCCUCCCUCAACGAGACUGGUAUGGUGCCUCAGCACAAGACUAAGGAGAACUAAGCUGGCUGCCAACAGAUGGGCUUAGCAGUCUCAAAGUGAACACUAACAAAUAUUUGGGACAGAGACUGUAAAUUGGAUAUGGAAUAUGAAUAUCGCCUUUUUAAGAAUUUUUUUUCACAUUUAGAACAAACAGGAAUACAAGCAUACUCAGUUAUAUAAUGGAUGUUUUGAAUGUUUACAAUUUUCAUCAUCAUUGAUAUUUGUUCUUUUUCAUACAUGUAGAAUUGUAGAUUAAAUAGUUUGAGAUCAGUUCUGAUGAUAAAACUUUCAUUGUUAUUCUAAUUUUAAUUGUUAUGUUCUUUUUAUUACUUGACAAUGCGCACCCAAAGGGGCCCAAGGGGAAAACUUCAAGGUCACUGAGGGAGGG